rnacentral:rRNA from 1 species
CCUACGGGCGGCUGCAGUGGGGAAUUUUGGACAAUGGGGGCAACCCUGAUCCAGCCAUGCCGCGUGAGUGAAGAAGGCCUUCGGGUUGUAAAGCUCUUUCGGCCGGGAAGAAAUCGCUCAAGCUAAUACCUUGGGUGGAUGACGGUACCGGAAGAAGAAGCACCGGCUAACUACGUGCCAGCAGCCGCGGUAAUACGUAGGGUGCGUGCGUUAAUCAAAAUGUGUGGGGGUAAAGCCUGAAGAGACGGGUGAAAUCCCCGGGCUUAACCUGGGAACUGCGUUUGUGACUGUGGUGCUCGAGUGCGGCAGAGGGGGGUGGAAUUCCACGUGUAGCAGUGAAAUGCGUAGAGAUGUGGAGGAACACCGAUGGCGAAGGCAGCCCCCUGGGUCGACACUGACGCUCAUGCACGAAAGCGUGGGGAGCAAACAGGAUUAGAUACCCGUGUAGUC